rnacentral:tRNA from 1 species
AGGAGAAUAGCUCAAUUUGGUAGAGCAACGGUCUCCAAAACCGUCGGUUGGGGGUUCGAGUCCCUCUUCUCCUGCCA